CAGUUUUCAACGGAAAUAGUGAAAGAAGAUAGUAAUAUACAGUUCAUCUGAGUUUUUGUGAGUUAACGAACAUUAACGCCAUCGUCGUCUGAGACUUGAAACGGAGCUGGUGCAGAAGUUCGGCUGAUUGCGUCAUCGAACAGCAUGAGAGACUGGCUGAGAGCACGAGAGUUAGUUGCUGGAGCCGUGAGUUUCUUCCUGAACGCUGUUGUUUUGCAUCUUUCGAACUGUAUGUAUUUUUGAGAGUUUUUCUGCGUGCCUGAGUCAAUGAGCUGUGCUUUGGACUGAGAGACGUUAAUUUCUUCCUGCUUGUCAGUCAAGUGCACUUGUUAGUGCGCGAGAAGAUGUAAAUGAACUGGAAGUCAUCUCAAGUCAUCGCAAGUAAUUUCUUCAAUUUCAUCAUCGCUAAAGACUGGUACAACGUUCAUUGCACAUAUACAUACAUGAACUCUUACUGAUAUAGACUGAACUGAGAACUUGAACUAGGUAACUGAACUGGGUUUGAUGUGAAAAUUUAAUCAUCUGUCGAAUCACAAGAGUCAUUUCAGAGUUCAUUUGAGCUAAGUCAAGUUAUUUCUGAGUUUAUUUGAAGUGAAUCAUUUGUGAACUGAUUGUUAUUCCAGAGGUGAACACAAGUUUUAUGGUUAAACAGUUGGUGGUGCACCACGGGUAAAGAUUAUAGUGACAACUUUAUUUGAGUAACAUUGUUUUAUUUGUUUUUUUACAUUUUUCAUGUAUUGUUCUGAUCCUCUUUUCCUGCUCUGCAAAAGAAAAAAAGACAUUUUAAAAGGAGAUAAUUAAAUCUGAUUAAAUGUUAAAGUAAAUCUCAAGAGUACUAUCAUUGUUGAACUUACCUUGGAGUAGGGGCGUCUCACUUGCUCUGUUAAGGUGAACACAAGUUUUAUGGUUAAACAGUUGGUGGUGCACCACGGGUAAAGAUUAUAGUGACAACUUUAUUUGAGUUAACAUUGUUUUAUUUGUUUUUUUACUAUUUUUUCAUGUAUUGUUCUGAUCCUCUUUUCCUGCUCUGCAAAAGAAAAAAAGACAUUUUAAAAGGAGAUAAUUAAAUCUGAUUAAAUGUUAAAGUAAAUCUCAAGAGUACUAUCAUUGUUGAACUUACCUUGGAGUAGGGGCGUCUCACUUGCUCUGUUAGGUACUGGGGUGGUGGGAAUGUGAAUUGGUAUUGUUAAAUUGCCUCACAUAUUUACACUUCAGACGGCCACCAAAUUAAUACAAGUAUUUGUAGACUUAACUGAAGCC
rnacentral:lncRNA from 1 species